CAAGCAUACUGGGUGGUCGCUGAUCGUUGCACUUACGUGCACGAUGGGAGGAAAGUCCGGGCUCCGCAGGGCACAAUGGUCGGUAACNCCGACCGGCCGUGAGGCUAGGGAAAGUGCANCAGAAAGNANACCGCCUCANUNUUCACCGCNANGUAANGANUGCGGUAAGGGUGAAACGGUGAGGUAAGAGCUCACCAGCGAGUAAGGUGACUUNCUCGGCUAGGUAAACCCCAUUGGGNGCAAGGCCAAACAGAAGGCAUNCCGCGUUACCGCGCGGUAACGGUACUGCNCGGNCCGUUAUGACCUUCGGGUAGGCUGCACGAGGUGUCGAGCAAUCGACGUCCCAGAUAAAUGACCAUCAGCAACGUGAUUCGUCACGUCGCCACAGAACCCGGCUUAUAGGUGCGCUCGGAAG
rnacentral:RNase_P_RNA from 1 species